rnacentral:rRNA from 1 species
GUGGGGAAUCUUGCGCAAUGGGCGAAAGCCUGACGCAGCCAUGCCGCGUGGAUGAUGAAGGUCUUAGGAUUGUAAAAUCCUUUCACCGGUGAAGAUAAUGACUGUAGCCGGAGAAGAAGCCCCGGCUAACUUCGUGCCAGCAGCCGCGGUAAUACGAAGGGGGCUAGCGUUGCUCGGAUUUACUGGGCGUAAAGGGCGCGUAGGCGGACAUUUAAGUCAGGGGUGAAAUCCCGGGGCUCAACCUCGGAACUGCCUUUGAUACUGGGUGUCUUGAGUAUGAGAGAGGUGUGUGGAACUCCGAGUGUAGAGGUGAAAUUCGUAGAUAUUCGGAAGAACACCAGUGGCGAAGGCGACACACUGGCUCAUUACUGACGCUGAGGCGCGAAAGCGUGGGGAGCAAACAGGAUUAGAAACCCUGGUAGUCC